GAAAACUGGAGAAGCAUCCCUAAAAUAUAUGAACCAAUCUGCCUAGAAAUAGCUAGGAAUCUGCCACCAGAAAGAUGAAUAAAAUAAAAGAUUGAAGAAGUAGCAAGUAGCAGUAUGGAAGAUUUGUGGCUAAGUGUAUAAAUUCACAGAAGUAAGAAGCUGAAUGCAGUCACAAAGAGAGCAAAGCACUUUGUAAAGUGAACUCAAUACCCCUGUUGGGGCUCAGAAAACAGUACCCCAAAGUGAAGUCCUCAGAAGCAGCCCCAAAAGUAAAGUCUCUGACCUUCUCCUGCCCUCCCAUCCUCUCUCCCUUCCUUCUCCACUGAGGCAAGAUAGAAACUAAAAUUCCUCUUCACCAAGGAACCCCGCCUUUUUGUGUAACAGCUGGCCAUAAAGAAAUUAAGACCUUCA